ensembl:misc_RNA
UUGACAACCCUGCAGACAAAAGUCCUUUAUUUAUCCACAGAACAGGGUACUGCACUGGCAGUAGCCCUGUAAGCAUCUGCACACUGUCCUACCAAUAUGGUCCUACUCUGGCUCCGAAACUCAUCUCUAGAAGUGAAAACGCAGCUCAGACUCUUUGUCUGUUCUGGUCUUGACCUCU